rnacentral:rRNA from 1 species
UAUGAUCAAGUGAAUAAGUGCAUACGGUGGAUGCCUUGGCAGUUAGAGGCGAUGAAAGACGUAAGAGCCUGCGAAAAGCUUCGGGGAGGUGGCAAAUAACCUUUGAUCCCGAGAUGUUCGAAUGGGGAAACCCACUGACCAUAAGGUCGGUAUCAUGCACUGAAUACAUAGUUGUAUGAGGCGAACCUGGGGAACUGAAACAUCUAAGUACCCAGAGGAAAAGAAAUCAACCGAGAUUCUGUGAGUAGCGGCGAGCGAAAGCGGAUUAGCCCAAAAGUUUAUUAUGUUGUAGUGGAACACUCUGGGAAGUGUGGCGAUAGAGGGUGAUAGCCCCGUACACGAAACGGCAUAGUAGAUGAAACAAGAGUAGGUCGGGCACACGUGUUAUCCUGAUUGAAGAUGGGGGGACCAUCCUCCAAGGCUAAAUACUCCUAACUGACCGAUAGUGAACUAGUACCGUAAGGGAA